GGAGGCAGCAAGCAGCAGGGAUCUCUGGCUUGACAGAGAGUGAAGGAAGAACUGGCCUGGAAUCAAGGUCCCUGCAUGCCCCCAACAUCUGACUCAGAGCGCCCUGUCUCCCGCCUCGGCCGCAGCACACUGCCUUGCAAUGUCCCCAUCUGUAGGAGUCUGGGUGACACUAUGAAGAAAGCAGCUCUGGAGACCUGCUCUGCACAGUGCUCCAGACUUAGCUCGGUGCUGAGCUAAAAUGCUGCUCCUGGACUGGAUCAGUGACCAUUUCCCAGAAGCAAGGAACACGGGCAGAAAGGGGCCUCUGGGGGCUUGCAGGAAUCCCACUGUAGCAUUCUCAAAGCGUUUGCUAUAAGAACACUUGGGCUAAUUGCACAGUACAUACCAAGGACAAUCCAAGAAGGUUGUGGGAGA